UCUUGGCCAGCCUUCUGAAAGGAAGAUUAAUACAAGAUGGCAUCAUGAGUUCACAUGUUCACAUGAUUAAAGGUAUUCCGGUAGACGAUGGGGAUGCGUUCCAUUAGAUAGUAGGCGGGGUAACGGCCCACCUAGUCUUCGAUGGAUAGGGGUUCUGAGAGGAAGGUCCCCCACAUUGGAACUGAGACACGGUCCAAACUCCUACGGGAGGCAGCAGUGAGGAAUAUUGGUCAAUGGGCGCAGGCCUGAACCAGCCAAGUAGCGUGAAGGAUGACUGCCCUAUGGGUUGUAAACUUCUUUUAUAAAGGAAUAAAGUCGGGUAUGUAUACCCGUUUGCAUGUACUUUAUGAAUAAGGAUCGGCUAACUCCGUGCCAGCAGCCGCGGUAAUACGGAGGAUCCGAGCGUUAUCCGGAUUUAUUGGGUUUAAAGGGAGCGUAGAUGGAUGUUUAAGUCAGUUGUGAAAGUUUGCGGCUCAACCGUAAGAUUGCAGUUGAUACUGGAUAUCUUGAGUGCAGUUGAGGCAGGCGGAAUUCGUGGUGUAGCGGUGAAAUGCUUAGAUAUCACGAAGAACUCCGAUUGCGAAGGCAGCCUGCUAAGCUGCAACUGACAUUGAGGCUCGAAAGUGUGGGUAUCAAACAGGAUUAGAUACCCUGGUAGUCCACACGGUAAACGAUGAAUACUCGCUGUUUGCGAUAUACUGCAAGCGGNCAAGCGAAAGCGUUAAGUAUUCCACCUGGGGAGUACGCCGGCAACGGUGAAACUCAAAGGAAUUGACGGGGG
rnacentral:rRNA from 1 species